rnacentral:rRNA from 1 species
UACGGGGGGUGCGAGCGUUGUCCGGAAUCACUGGGCGUAAAGGGCGCGUAGGUGGUUUGAUAAGGGUGUGGUGAAAGUCCGGGGCUCAACCCCGGAUCUGCCGUGCCGACUGUCAAACUCGAGGACUGUAGAGGCAGGCGGAAUUCCGGGUGUAGCGGUGGAAUGCGUAGAGAUCCGGAGGAAGACCGGUGGCGAAGGCGGUCUGCUGGGCAGUUUCUGACACUGAGGCGCGACAGCGUGGGGAGCAAACAGG